rnacentral:rRNA from 1 species
AUGCACGCUGGCGGCGUGCCUAAUACAUGCAAGUCGAGCGAACAGACGAGGAGCUUGCUCCUCUGACGUUAGCGGCGGACGGGUGAGUAACACGUGGAUAACCUACCUAUAAGACUGGGAUAACUUCGGGAAACCGGAGCUAAUACCGGAUAAUAUAUUGAACCGCAUGGUUCAAUAGUGAAAGACGGUUUUGCUGUCACUUAUAGAUGGAUCCGCGCCGCAUUAGCUAGUUGGUAAGGUAACGGCUUGCCAAGGCAACGAUGCGUAGCCGACCUGAGAGGGUGAUCGGCCACACUGGAACUGAGACACGGUCCAGACUCCUACGGGAGGCAGCAGUAGGGAAUCUUCCGCAAUGGGCGAAAGCCUGACGGAGCAACGCCGCGUGAGUGAUGAAGGUCUUCGGAUCGUAAAACUCUGUUAUUAGGGAAGAACAAAUGUGUAAGUAACUAUGCACGUCUUGACGGUACCUAAUCAGAAAGCCACGGCUAACUACGU